rnacentral:rRNA from 1 species
GUUGAACGCUGGCGGCAGGCCUAACACAUGCAAGUCGAAUGGUAACAGGAGACACCUUGCUGUUUCGCUGUCGCGUGGCGCGCGUGUGAGUCAUGUCUGUGACACUGCUUGAUGGCGGGGGAUAAUUCCUGGAAACGGUAGCUAAUACCGCAUAAAGUCGCAACACCAAAGAUGGGGACUUUCGGGCCUCUUUCCUGCAGAUUUUCCCGGAUGGGAUUAGCUAGUAGGUGGGGUAACGGCUCACCUAGGCGACGAUCCCUAGCUGGUCUGAGAGGUUGAACAGCCACACUGGAACUGAGACACGGUCCAGACUCCUACGGGAGGCAGCAGUGGGGAAUAUUGCACAAUGGGCGCAAGCCUGAUGCAGCCAUGCCGCGUGUAUGAAGAAGGCCUUCGGAUUGUAAAGCUCUUUCAUCGGGGAGGAAGAGAGGAAAGUUAAUACCUUCGCGCAUUGACGGUACCCACAGAAGAAGCACCGGCUAACUCCGUG